GGACGGGAUGGGGCGCCGGGGGGCUGGGGGGCUCGGCGAGCGAGAGACGGGGGCGCGGGCGGCCGGGGUCACGCGCCAGCCGCGCCGGGAAGCGGCCGCGGUGAGUAACACGGUUGCCAUGGCGACGUGGCCGCGAGGAACAGGAAGCGGCAGAAAUAGCAGCCGCCGCGGCCCGCGCCGCCCGGCCCCUCCCCCCGCGAGCCCGUUGCCACGGCGACCAGCCCGAGCGAGGCUGCGCGGGCGGCCGCGGCCUCCGGCGCCCCGGUCUGCGCAUGCGCCCCGGGCCUGCCCCGCGCGGGCGCCGCCCGGACCCCAGAUCUGCCCGGCCGCCCGCUUGGGCGGAAAAAAGGGGAAAAUAGCAGCACUGUUUGUUGUGGGCCUUUGGAAAGCGGCCCCGCCUUUGUUCCUGGCCGAUUCGCUGGCUUCCAGGCGCCGGGGGCGGGCAGCCCAGGGGGCAGGGACACAGCCGCCCCGGGUCCCCAACGUCGUCUGAGUGCUGGGCGCUGGGCGAUGCCUCUCGGAGCCCUGGCCUGGGGCGGGCUGACCAGGCCCUGCUGCCCUUGGCCGCCUGAAGCCCUCUCCGAGCCUGGCCUCCCCAUCGGGGGUGGGGGGGACGUCUCCAGGUGACGCCCAGGGGUCCCCCGCCUGUGUCUCCUGGUCCCCUCUCCCCGGAUCCCCUUCCGCAAACUAAGCAGCAGAGAGCACAGAGGGAGAAGUGAAGUGCUGCCCACCCCCAGGCUCCCUCUCCACUCUCUGUUCACCAGAAAACGAGGAAACAGCCCACCCCCCUGGAAGCAAGUGUCGAGGGGCACCUAAAUGUUUCAUAAGCCAGAGCCGCUCUCCAGCAGCUUGUUUAUCUGGAAGCCUGGCUGCAGCCUUGCGUGUCUGAGGCGGGUGUGCACGUGUGCGUGUGUGUGUGUGUGUGUGUGUGUGUGUGUGUGCAUGGAGGGCGGGGGACACAAUCAUCUCUGAGGCUGUUUGUGGAGGGUUUUUUUCUCUCCAGAUUUGGUUUGGUUUGUUUUUAAUGAGGGUCAGAGGUCUGGGCUUCUGUGGGGAAGGGGGAAGGGUCACCUCGGAUGGACAGGCCGGGAGCUCCCUGGAGGAUGGGUCACAGGGCCUGGGGGCCCGGCGGAGGCCAUCAGCGGAGCCUCCCCAUCUGCCACUGCUCCCGGCAGCCGGGAGGGACUCCGUGGGCGCCAGGCUCUCCGACCUGCUCCCCGGGGUAUGGGCCCCAGAGAGGGCCCAGGCCCAGGACUCCCGGACCUCUCUCCCCAGGGCAGGACAGCUGUUGUUCCCCUGGCCCCUGCCCUGGCCACACUGGCCAAGAGAGAAGGUGAGCAGAGCAACCCAGGUCUCUGGGGUUUUCUAGAAUGGAAAGGAGAGGCUUUUGCUUUUUGAAUGGGGCGGCCUCAGCCUUCCAGCAUCCAGGCUGACCAGAAGGGAAUGCACGGAGCCAGUGUUCAAGGAAGGGGGACCACGGCUUCAAACCUCCUCCUCCCCACUCCCUGCCACCCCUCCCAGCCUCCUCCCCACGGUGGCCUUGUGCAGGCUGAGGGGUUCUAGCUGCUUAGCCUCUGAAAGAGCUAAGGAGAGAGGGUGGGGCUUGGGUGACGUUCCUGCCUCCCUUCCCCUCCCCCUGGCAACAUGUGGGAGAGGUGCCCAGGACCGAAGGGAAAGCUUGUCUGAUAUCCAGAAGACUGGGGGUCCACCAUGGCUAGCAUCCUAUUUGUCCCUUUCCUUCUUUUAGGAGGAAAUGAAGACACAGGGAGCAGUUGUUAUAAUAAAGAGAAGUCCCUGCCUCCGUGCAGAGGGCAGGAGCGAAUGCUGGGGCCCAGGGCUUUAGAACCAGCCGGUCCUGGUGGUGAAUUCUAGCUGGGCCCCACGGAAGCUCGUGCCCCUGCAUCCCAGGGACAGCGCAGCGCCCACCUGCCAAGUUGUGGUGGUUCCGUGAAGUGAGGCAGAAAAGCUCUUAGCGGCGCCUGGCACAGAGCUCAGAACGUAUGGCUGUUGUUGGAGCUGGAGGCGCUCAGUGCGCCACUCUCGCUGGUGUGACCCAGCGCUGCUGCCUCGGGCCCUGAGGCUCUGGGCCUGGGCUCUGUCCCCAGGCAGGCCCAUCUCUGUCACAGGCCCUGCCGCCAAGCCAAGGCAUGUCGCUUGCCUCCUUGGGGCCUGGGUCUUCCCCUCUGCCUUCAAAACAACCCUGAGAGGUGAAGGCCACGACGAUCCCAAUUUCACAGACGAACGGACAGAGCCUCAGAGAGGUGAACUCCCCUUCUGGGAAUCAGCAGCCUGGAAGGUGGCAUGGAACGCACCCCUGAGAGCCAGCACCUCGUGGGCCACGCUCCUUUUCUUGCUGGUGGAAUCGAGGCGGGUCCUCAAGCAUGUGUGGGGCACCAACCAUGAUGAGUUAUCCCAUUUUACAAACGUGGAAACGGAGGCGCAGACAGCGGCCAUGUUCAGCCCAGGCCUCGCAGAUAGCCCUGCUCGUCCUUCAGGGCUGGCCGCGCCCGGAAGGCCGCCCUGCCACCCGGGCAAGUCCCUCUCUGCGGUACCCUGCGCUUCUCCUCCUGUGUCCUCUUGGCAAUGAUAAAGAGCCUGCUCAGUGUGUCUCCUGGCCUGUAAGUCCCCUGAGGGCGGGUACCGUGUCUGUGUGCUCAGCUUUCUGCCCCAGAGCCAGGGCAGGUCUGGCACCUGAUAAGUGCCUGUUGUACGUUUGUUGAAUGAAUGAAUGAGUGAGUGAUGGAGUCAGAAUGGAAAGACAACCAGCCUUGUGACGCCUAGUCAAGAAUUAUUAUCACCCCUCUGCCUCGGGGUGUCUUCACCAUUUUAUACCUUAACUGGAGUGGAUGCUGAUGGGGGAGUCGCCCCCUCACCCACCAUCUAACUCAUCCUCGGGCCGCUGUCCUGCCCCCCUCAUUUCCCUGGGGUCUGACCUGGGAGCCUGUGUGCACACCCACUGGGUGAAGGGGAGAAGGAUGCUAUCCCGGCGGCCUCCCUCAGCUUGGCCUCCAAGGACCAGUGGAGGGUGGCUGCCUGCCUCGGUGGUGGCCUCACCGAGCCACCCCAGGCUCUCCAGGGGCCUGCUCCAGCCACUGGCUGGGAAAGUGAAGCCGUGACCCCACCCCUCCACCCCCAGCACAUCGUCCCCGCGCCUCCUCCUGGCCCGUGCCGUGAGCCUCCCAGUGCAGAGAUGUCCCGGGGACUCCCCUGCCGUCCCCCUGGACGUGGACCCACCAUGUUCCCCGUUUGUUUAUUUAAGACCAUCACACAUGCUUUCUCUGCGCCAGGCACUGUUCUGGGCACUUGACAGAUAUUUAUCCUUAGUAUGAAGUCAGUGCCAAUAUGUCCUCAUUUUACAGACAGGGAAACUGAGGCACAGAGAGGUCCGUGACUGGUCUGCUUUUUCCUGGGCUUUCACCCCUGACUGCUAGCUGGGGCCUUGGCUCUCACAGCCUCCUCAGGUGUUCCCACCUCCUGCUCACCGGGCUCAUGCGGCCCCACUGCCUUUGUCACACGGGUGCCUCUCCUGAGACGCUGGCACAGGGCGGUGGCACAGUGGGUGGCAGUGAGGAGGCCCUGGUACAUGGAUGGAGUGAGGACACAGCCCCCGGAACCAGCCAUAACUGAGUUUGAAUUUGGAUUCGCCACGUAUGGCUGUGGCAUCCUGGACAAGCGGCUUCGGGUCCCUCCGGCUGCUCUUCAUCUGAAGAACAAGGGCAAAGCCGUUUAUUCUCAAGGUUGUAACAAGGAGGACACAAGAGAGCCCGAGACAGUGCUGCGCCAAGGUCCCACAGGCCGUCUUUCACUAAUAAAGGUAAUAUUCUGUCCCUUUUCUCCCCAACCUGUCCUCUGCCCCUCAAAGCUGGUCAUCCCAGAAUCCUUUGCCCCCUUUGUGGGCAGAGUCCCCAGUGACAGGCAUUCCCAGAGCACUUCUGUCUGUGUCAUCAGCCUGGUGCCUGGUCGUGUCCACUCUGGGCCCUGGCCCCUCAGAGCCCCAGGCAGCGGGCAGACGUGGCCAGACGAAGGCGGGGGCUCUGCUGGGGAGAGAGCAGGCGUUCUGGGCUCGUCCAUUUGUGAGACGCUUAUUGAGCACCUGCUGUGUGCCGGGCUCUGUGAACGCGACCGCCCCCAGGGAGCCCCCACCGGCUGGAGAGGCCGACGAGUGGCCCAGCCGCCUUGACUCAGCAGCCGUGUGGGCGGCCAUCGCCCAGAGUGGGAGACUGGUCUAGCUGCAGAGGCAGAAGCUUCAGGAAGAAUUGACAGCCGAGCUGAGGCCAGAAGCGGGAGCUGGUGGCCGAGGGCGCUGGGGUAAGCCGGGCGUUCCAGGCAGGGGGCCGGAGAGUGGGACAAGCGUGGUCUUCAGGAAACAGCCGGUACUGGGUGUGGCCCUCGUGGGCGGGCGGAGGCCAGACAGGGCGGGCCUCGGGCCUUACUCCACAGAUGCCGAGAGUCCCUGCCAGGUGACAGGUGCCGACGGGGUGAACAAAGGAGAGCGGGCCUCUGCCCUCCUUACAUUCCAGGGGGAGACGGAGGGGCAAACAUCAGCCAGGUGACCGCACACGUCCCCAGGAUCACGGCCAAGGGCGCGGCGUGAAUAACCAGGGGACCAGGGAGGAAGGAGGCAGCCUAUGGUCGCGGCCAGAGCCGGGCCCUUCCUCCUAGGCUGCUGGGGGUGUGGCUCUUGAAGCAGGGCAGCGCAACUGGAGGGCGAUUGGAGUGACCCCUCUGUGGCUGGGGCAGAACAGAGUGGGAGGGAAGACCAAGGACCUGGGCCGGUGGAGUCUCCAGGCAAGGGGUGGCGGCCGGGGUCAGGGUGUGGCCAGGGGACAGACAGAAGCGGUGCGUCUGAGAGCCUUUCAGGAGGCAAAGAGACUGGUGCUUACAGCUGUGGGGGAGGGCGGUGGGGAGGCAAGGCCGAACCCAGAUUUCUGGACCAGGCCUUGGGGUGACAACGAUGCCAUUUGCCAGCGUGGAGAGCCCGGGGGCAUGGACGAGCUCAGCUUAGAGGGUCAGGCGCCCAACAUGAUCUUAGCAGGAAGGUCCUGCCGCCAGCAGCCACGGUGUCCAAGGUCCAGGGGAGAGGUUGGGGACCCAUUUGACCAGGACAGAGACUGGCCUGCAGCUGUGGGCCAGAGCUGCCCAGGGUCCCGCCCGAUUCUGCCGUUCUCGAAGAAGGGUUUGGAUCAUCCUUCCCUUCUCGUGUUCCUCAUUCAUCCCAGGGCAUCUGCAGUAUAGAACAUUCCAGAAUCCUGAAGACUUCUCCUUCGGGUUUGCCCAGUCCUUCCAAGUCCGCAUCCUCGCUCACACAUUCUUUUCCCCUGGGACCCAUGGAUCAAAGGCUCCAAUUAGGGGAGGGGGGACCAUUUCUUGGGGAGGCAGGGGGUCCCUGGGCGGCUCAGGUUGGCCCCCCGCUCAGCUUGAGCAAGCACCAUCACUGCUGUCGCCUCCUACGUGUUGUGUUCUCGAGAAUUCCCCCACUCCUCAUCCAGCCGGAAGCAAUGCUUGCGGGAGAAACUGUGGGGUCUUCAGCCAUGGUCCACGUGGGUGUAGGGUUGGGGGGGGCGUCCCUGGCUAUUCUCCUUGAGGGGCAUUCCUUGCCUCCUCCGGGUGAGGGCUCUGUGUCUGUUUUGUCCCUGCCACUGGGGGCUGGGCAGGGACCCAGCUGGGCUCUGUCGAUGGGCCUUGCAGACUGAUGGAGAAAGGGAUGUGUGUGUGUGAGGGAGAGUGCGCGCGCCCGCCUGAAACCUAGUUGUCCGCUGUCUAAUCCGUCAGCCAGAGGACAGCUUGCCAGCCCCUCCCCGACUGGCUGAUAAAUGCCGACCGCGGCCCCCCUGCUCCCGAGCUGCCUUAAUUGGUAUCAGGACGUGCCUGGACUCCAUCCUCCGGCCCCCGCCUUCCUCCUCUCCUGCCGCUGCCUCCAGCCUCUGGUGGGGCUCACCUGCUGCCACAGCCCCAGGAGGAGAGAUAUUCAUGUGUUUGGUUGUGGGGGCUGCCCAGGCCCUGCUGGGGUGCUCCCUAAUCUUCGCUGUGUGCGCCACAUCGUUCUUCUGGAAGGAACAGCUCUGAGUCCCCCACUGCCUCUGGCCCGGGGCUUUAGAGGAGGAGGCUGGGCUCACACAGGACGCAUAUCUACACCCUGGACGGGACGAUCGCCAUGUGCUCCAUUUUCUUCUGCAUCAUCCAGAGACGGUGUGGGGCUGCAUGAGGGUCUCACAGUGACCCCAGGCCCUGACCUGCCUGCUCCCUGGGUGGUGGACAGCUGCUCUCUGCAAAGAAAGGGGGCUUGCUGAUUCAACCCCCACGGGGGCUGCGGGCGUGUCACUCAUGGUCCACCAGGAGAUUUAUUUCACAGUAAAGGGACUAGGGGACAUGUGAGGCCAAGCAAUAGAGCAGUUUUCUUAAAAAGAGAAGAGAAGGAGCUGGGCCCGUGGCGUGGUGGUGAAGUUCAUGCAUUCCGCAUUGGCAGCCUGGGUUUGCAGGUUCAGAUCCCGGGUGUAGACUGACACCACUCAUCAGCCAUGCUGUGGAGGUGACCCACAUAUAGAAGAGAGGAGGACUGGCACACAUGAUAGCUCAGGGCAAAUCUUCCCCACCAAAAAAACAAAAAAAGAGAGAGAGAGAGAAGAGAAAAUAGCUUUAUUGAUUAUAAAUGUAAUAUAUACCCAUCAUCAUAAAAAAUUAAUACAAAAGAAGAAAGUAACAAUCACCUGAAAUCUACCCCCUCCACAGUAACCACUGUUGACAUUUCUGUGACUGCCCUUCCUUCCAGGUUUUUCUAGAUAUAUCUUUUCUUUCCCAAAGAUGGGCUUCAUUACCCAGUGUUUUGCAACCUGCAUUUUUUUCUCUGUCACUUAACAAUAUGUUGUGACUGUCUUCCCACGUCUAAGUCGUCGUUUUUCAGGGGGACGAGGAAGUCCAUGGUAAACACAUCCCGUGACCAGCUCAAACAGCCCCCUUGGGGGACACUGUCUGGUUCCAGCUUUUCAUUAAUGUACACGUCCCCAGGACGGCAUCAUUGUGCACACAAGCCCAUAGAAGUGGAGGCCCUAGGUCCACACGGGGUGGGUGCACCCACCACGUCGUAGGCACUGCCAGGCUCCCUGCCAUCUCUGCUGAAGUGCCAGUCUCUGACCAUUAGGAAGAGGGGCCCAUGCCGGCCGGGCAGAGGGUCCUGCCAGAGCAGCCCCCAGGCUCUGCAGCUGCAGGGGAAGCAGGAAGCCAGCGGGGUACCACGUCAUCCUGCCAUCAAGGGCCUUCAGCCACCUUUGCGUGGCUCUCUCCUGUGCCCUCUCCUUCUGCCUCCACUCGCCCACAGGCCACUGUCCCCAGCCCCCACGGAGGCCCCUUGGCCACGGCCCCCAGCCGAGCCUCUGGUUCUCUCUUCUCAGACAGGGAUAAAUCUGGACCCCAGGCCCCCUCACGCCCUAAUCACUUGAGCUUUCUCCCGAUUUGCAUGUCCUCAAGGAGCCUUGAUUAACGCCCUUGCUGGCAUCCUCUCUGCUCCAGCCACGAGGAAUCUGAUUGCGAAGUGGCCUCAACUUCUUCAAAAAUAAGAUAAACCCUCCCUAAUGCAAGUGGAGCCCAUGCUUCUCUGAACAGUGAGAGAUCUGGAGGCGUCUCCCAGGAGCCCCAUCAGCUCAGAAACGUUGGAAACUUCUGAAAGGAAUCAAGCCAUUUCUCUCACCAGCAGCCCAAAGCCUUUUCUCGGCACUGACAUGAACUCUCUUAGCAGUCAUUGGAGGUGGGCCUCAUCUUCUCCAGCCUUCAGACAGGAAACUGAGGCUCAGAGAGGGCAAGCUACUGGCUCUAGAUCACUCAGCCAGGCCACUUUCAGCUCAGCCGGAAUAUGAACUCAGCCCUGUCUGACUCCAGCCAGACCUUCAACUGACACUUGUUAAAAGCAGGCUGGGCCUGGGGCAAGGGCUGGGGGAAGGAUGAGGCUGGAAGGAGCAGACACGUGUAAUGAGGUGGCUUUGGCGUCCGGCCCUGGAAGUCCUUGCAGCUGACAAAGCCAGCCCUGAGAAGAGGACCGAGCGCCCAUCUGCUGUUCCCCAGCUGUGUGUUGGGACAGAGGGUGCCGGGUCUUGCUGUAACAGCGCAGCACCUUUGUGGCGUGACACGUGGUGCAGUGGUCACGACCCACAAGUGUACCUGCGCGUCACCCGUGUGGUCUAACCCACGUGUGCCCGCCAGCCUGCCCCAUCAGAGAGCGCCCGAACGCAUGGGAAUCUGGCUGCUCUCUGCAGCUGGGGGACGGGACGCUCUCCGGGGUCUGUGUGGGGCAGGAUGGGCCCCAGGGUGGCAGGGCACGGAGACCCGGCUCAGCCCUCUGCCCUGCCCUCCAGGCCCCUCCCGGCCCCUCCCGAGCCUGCCCGCCUGUCGCGGUUCUCCCUGCUUCUCUUGGGGCCGAGCUGUGGGAGCUGCAGGGUUUGAAGUGCUGGGGGGCGGGUAGCGCCGUGUUCUCUUGCUUCUCUGGGGUGGAGCAGUUUCCCAGCCUGCUGCUCCCGCCCUCGCUCUCUCCAGGGUCCUUGCUCCCGAUGGGUGGGGCAGAGGGGUCUCCCUGGGAGGCCUGGCCUCUUCCAUGACUUCCUGGUGUCUCUGGUCACCUCGGGGUUUUCUGGGCUGAGUGUGGCCGUCCCUGGCCAGAACCUGCCAAGCCCAGGGGCCUUGGGACAGGUGUGCAUACACGGUCCAGUGGCCAGAGCCUGGGACACAGCGUGCUGGGGGCCGCACCUUCCUGGGGGGCUGUAACAAGCUGUUCCUGCUCCUCUGGGGACAUCCACUCGGGGUGGGGAGGGGGCAGCAGGAGGCACAGAGCAGGCUGGGAACGUCCAUCCUCUCAGUGCCAGGCCCUGGGGCUCAAAGGGCAGGCACCUGGAAUGGAGGCCCCUGGGCCCACCCCCAACCCCCCACCCCCGCCUGCUGCUGGCCCCUGGUGGGGACGGCCCUUCCUCUCUGUGUUUGUCCUCCCAGCUGGGCCGGGGUCUGCGAGGGAGUCAGGGGAUGCUUGGGCACAUUCCCAAAGCUUUGGGGUUUCAGAGACCAAUAUAAUUUCCAAAGGAAGUUUGCGGACUAAUGUGGGGAUGCCAAUUUUUAAUUUUGCUAGAGAAGGAGGUUAAAGAGAAGAAGACAAAACACACGUUCAAAAUCCCAUCAUCAACUAUCACUUCAUUUUAUGAAAUAAAUUACAUUUUUAAACCAAAAAGCUACGAAGGACAUAAUCUUAGAAUGAAGGAACAUCCUCUCCCCAGAAAACAGCAUUUGGAGACUUCACACUGUUUCUUGUGCUGUAAGACCCGGGGAAGGUUUGCCUCAGCCGAGCAUCGGGCACUGGUCCCUAAUGGGGCACUCAGGAACACCUUGUGGUCACAAGAUGGCUGCUCCACCUCCUGCCAUCAAGUCCACAUUCUGAGCAGGAUAACGCAUAUUUUCCUUGAAAUCUUUGCCUUUUAACUCAACAGGGGAAACCUUCCCCAGGAUCCUCUGCUUUCAUCUCGUUGGUCAGAACUGGGUCACAUGCCCACUCUUACCUGCAAAGGAAGCUGAGAAAUGGCUUAUUUUAGUUUUCUGGACUCUGUGAUAGAGGAAGGCCCGAGGGAACGGAGUUGGAGUGGGUGUUUGGGAGAUCGCACAGAUAGUUUUCUGGGACGUCUCAGCUUUCAUUCCAUGUCACCCCCCGCUCGGGUCUGUGUGGAACGCGGCCUGUCACGACUGACUGAUCCAGCGCCCAGUUCCCUAAGCAGCAGCUGGGAAAGCCCAGUUCAGCCCCAAACCCCAGGCUCCUUCAUCCACCCAGGCUCGUCCCGAUUCUGGGGAUCCCGGUGCUGUUCCCGCCUGUAGUGGGGGCUCUGGAUCAAAGAGUUCCCGAUUUCAAAGCCUGUUUUCAGAGGAAGUGGUCCAGACAGAGCUGCCCGGGAAAGAGCAGGACAUCUAGGUAGACAUGAAGUUCAGGAAAUAAUGAACAAUUUUUUACUCUAAAUAUUUGCAUGGGACAGAAACUAAAUGCAUAAACUAAAAUGUUAUUCCUUGUUUCAUCGAAAUACAAAUUUAACUGAG